UCCUUGCACUCACUCGUCCCUUUCACUUCUCGCGGCGUGGCUAUAAGACGUUCCGAUCCCAGUCGCUCGGAGCGGGUCCCGGGCCUCUGCAUCGUUUCCGUUUAAAAUCGCUGAGGCAGGUACGGGCCCAGCCUUUUUGUCUCUGGCCCUUGCAGACCCCGAUCGCCCGGACAGUCGCUUUCCUGCUCAGAACCUUUCUCUGACUCCCGAGUCUCCCCACUGCCGUCCACCCCCAACCGCGUCGUGCACAGUCGUCACUAGGGAGGUGGAUGCAGGCCCUUCGCCCCGCCGCAGGGAGGUCAGAGUGGGGACAGAGAUGCCAGGGAAAGACGCAGAAAUCUGCAGAGUUAGAAGGCCAUCAUAAAGUGUGGGGAGAAAGAACGGCGGGGAUUGAAACAGAGGCCGUAAUAGAGUGGGGUCAGACUGUUGGAGGAGGAAUAGUGAGGCAGGGACACAGAAAUGGACAAAAGGACAGAAGAGAAACAAGGACACAGAGACUUAUACAGAGAAGAAAACACGUAGUGGUCUCAGACAAAGCACAGGACCCAAACCCAGUAUAACCUUACCUGAGAAGGAAGACCAGAAGAAGAAGGGGAAAAAAAAGGAGGAAUGGCUCUUUUCCAGGGGCGGUUGACAUUCAGGGAUGUGGCCAUAGAAUUCUCUCAGGAGGAGUGGGAGUGCCUGGACCCCGCUCAGAGGGCCUUGUACAGGGACGUGAUGCUGGAGAACUACAGGAACCUGGUCUCCCUGGGUGAAGAUAACUUCCCUCCAGAAGUCGGUAAUUACUUUUUAUGUGUUUGCAUUUCCUUUUGACAGUCCCUGACUUGAUCAUAGGAGUUUCAAAUCCCUGUUCUUUAGGGAGUGAUUGCAACCGUUUUGAUGGAGAAUGGAAAGGCAUCAUAAUGUGGCAAAUGGCCUCUUAACUUCCCUUUCCUUCAGAAGUUCUGCACUCCUGCUUGUUUAGGUGGUUGCAGAACAUUAGUCAGAAAACCUUAUGGGAGGGAAGUGGUGAUGACGAGCA